AACGCACAUUGCGCCCCUUGGUAUUCCGGGGGGCAUGCCUGUUCGAGCGUCAUUAUAACCCUCAAGCCUAGCUUGGUGUUGGAGCAUGCUACUUAGCAGCUCUUAAAAUCAGUGGCAGUGCCCUUCGGCUCUAAGCGUAGUAAUUCUUCUCGCUAUGGAACCCGGAUGGUACGCGCCAGAACCCCCAACUUUCUAUGGUUGACCUCGGAUCAGGUAGGGAUACCCGCUGAACUUAA
rnacentral:misc_RNA from 1 species